rnacentral:rRNA from 1 species
AUGGAUGAGGCUGGUGCCACGGACAGCAGGGCUAGUAAUGGUACUGAGGCUAAUGUUUCAGAUCACCAUACGAAUGAUGUUGGCUUGGAGCCCCCUGUUGUUGAUGAGACAAAUAAUAAUGUUGAGGCUGCUGUUGACCGUGGAGUUAAUGAUCCAUCUAUUGAUAAGUGCAAGGGUCCUGUUGUUGGCAACGAGCGUUGUUCGACCAUUGGUGAUGUUCCUUUGAAUGUUAGUAGUAGCAAGAUCGAUAAUGUUACUGUGAAUGCUGCUAAGAUGACUGAUGUUGAGCGUGAGGCUGCCGUUAGUGGUGGAGAUGAUGCUUGUGGUAUUCCUUGA